rnacentral:rRNA from 1 species
GACGAACGCUGGCGGCGUGCUUAACACAUGCAAGUCGAGCGGUAAGGCCCUUUCGGGGGUACGACGAGCGGCGAACGGGUGAGUAACACGUGGGUGACCUGCCCUUAGCUCUGGGAUAAGCCUGGGAAACUGGGUCUAAUACCGGAUAUGACUCCAUGACGCAUGUUGUGGGGUGAAAGCCUUGUGCGGCUAGGGAUGGGCCCGCGGCCUAUCAGCUUGUUGGUGGGGUGAUGGCCACCAAGGCGACGACGGUAGCCGGCCUGAGAGGGCGACCGGCCACACUGGGACUGAGACACGGCCCAGACUCCUACGGGAGGCAGCAGUGGGGAAUCUUGCGCAAUGGGCGAAAGCCUGACGCAGCGACGCCGCGUGA